UUGUGUUUUAGUUUCUUCUCAGGACUUUAAAUAGGCUAGGAUACUCUGAAUACUGGGCAAGCAGAGCAGCUGAAGCCAUCCUUGGUGAAAGUAUCAUAUCCCAGUGAAUAAUUUCUCUGCUAUUAUGGGUCUUAUUCUUUUAUUCAUGAAAUAAACUGGUUUAAUCAAGUUUAGGCAGCCUCUCAUCUUCCUGCCUCCCCAGUCCUCCACCUACCAUAUUAACUGGAGGACAAGUUUAUGAUCCCAUUAGUUCUGCAUAUUAGUUCACUUAGGACAAAUGUAAGCUUAAAAAUGUCACUCAACUUUGACCUGUUAUGAAAGCAUUUAACCCACCAAAGACUACUCAGGUGUUUCUGAGCCAUUUGACAACUCCAUUGUCUGACUUCCUGUAAAAGCUAGAUUAAAAAAAAAAAGAAAAAAAAAAAAACAACACGCAACUUUGAACAGAUGCCUUUGUUCACCAGAAUCACUGCAGAUCCAGAACUGGGCUUCCAGAAGCAUUUUCUUUGCUGUGCCAAGUCUUGCUCGCAGCUUGUUCAGACACACUUCUGUGCAAAAGAAAAAUUGAUUAUAGCGGGCUGGCAAUUGCAUGAAGUGGGGGCACCUUCUUUCUUGAUUGGCUUAUGACCUGCUGAUGCAAAGGAGACUGGUUCUUCUUGUUGUUCACUCCGUUGUGUCACACUGCAUUGUGCUUUGUCGCACUGCAUCGGCAUUGUCAGUCCACACUUGAAUCUUGUUGAGGUCGCCACCUGAAUUCUUGCUGCAGGGAGUUUGAGGGUUUAACUGUAUCAUGUGUCAGUCUUGGUGAUACCUCCCUGACUAAUCAGAGAUUAAUCUCCUGAUGCAGUUCCCAGCAGCUCUAACAGGCUGUGAUGUUCUGGGAUAAUGCUGUAGCUCAUACUUCCUGCUGCUUGAAGCAAUUAUUUUUCAUGUAAGAAGUGCCCAGAGGCUAUGAAUGAAACUGCUGAACAUUUCACAGAUACUGCAAGGGGCAAUUUCUGCCCCAUGCAGUUUACAGCAAAAAAUAAGCAAGACAGCCAAAAGCAGGAGGCAAUAACCAAGGGAGGGAUUUGGCAUGAAAUCUGCUGCAAGAACAUGCAAGUGCGGGAAGCAACAGAGAGCUCUGCUGCUGCAGAUUUCCGUCAGGGUUAG
rnacentral:lncRNA from 1 species